AUCAUUUUUCCUUUUGAGAUUUCUUUCUCAACUUUUAUUACUUAAAGAAAAACACAUAUUUUGAGGGAGUUUCAAGGAUGUUUUUGUCGAUGUCAAUGUAUAUUUUUAUGAAGGAAAUAAACAAAGGUUCAGACUUGGAAUCUCUGUCAAGCUUGAAGAUUGAAGCAAUUUGAAGAUUGAAGCAAUUUGGAGUUGGAGUUGGAAUCUCCUUGGUUCUCUUCUUGCAAGUUUUUUCAGCAUCUUUGAUGGUUCUGGAAUAGGUUGUUUUGUGGGGAAUUACAAAGAAAAGUGACCGCGGCUAUUUACUGGGAAAUAGGAACAGCAUGUGGUUGUGGCUAUGUGAUUCUGUUGAUGUGUUUCGUAAAGUUAUCUCCUUGAACUUGUAUUGCAGAGUGAUUCUGUAAUUUGCAAAAUCUAGAACAUUUUCAAUUUUUUUUGGUA